UUGCUAUCUGCGAUAUAAAAGAUUCGAACCUGCAGCAGGUUCGAGUCGAACGAAGUGAGACAACGGAGCCGCCUGCGGCGACGGCCCGAAGGGCGAGUAGCGCAGUGAGACAACGGAGCCGCUUGCGGCGACGGCCCGAAGGGCGAGGCAAAGCCGAGUCAUCCUGCACGACCCACCA
rnacentral:sRNA from 1 species